UUUGUGUCUUGGGAGGAGGAGGAGGUUUGGGUCCCCAGUUUCAUGGAGGCUGGGCAUGGGGCCCCAGGUAGCUGGAGGUCUGCCUGCCCCUUAUCCUCUGCUCCCCACCCCCUGACCAAUGCCCAAGGGAGCUACAUGUGCUUGACUGUGGAUGUGUGAGGAAGAAAGAAAAAAGUCAGCCUGGGUGAUGGAUACAUUUGGAAAAUGUGUGAAGUAUGGAGCAGCUGUGGACCUCUCACCUCCAAGAAAGGCUAAGUUGAUGAGACGAAAACCAAAGUCAGGACAACUAUAACAUUCAGAAGAAAAAUACUUGUGGAUGAAGAUACCAUCUCUGAGAACAUUCCACUUACUACAGGCUUGCUUUCUGGGGAAGCACAUCUAGUCUCCGAACACUCAGAGGAAAAGAUACUUGUUGCAGGAGACACUGUCUCUGAGAACUUAACAGUUACUACAAAAUUACUUUCAGGGGAAUCACAUCUAAUCUUAAAACAUUCACUAGACAAGACAUUUGGGGUUGAAGACACUUUCUGAGAACAUUCCACUUACUAUAGGCUUGCUUUCUGGGGAAGUACAUCUAGUGUCUGAACACUCAGAGGAAAAGAUCCUUGUUGCAGGAGACACUGUCUCUGAGAACUUAACAGUUACUACAAAAUUACUUUCAGGGGAAUCACAUCUAGUCUUAAAACAUUCACCAGACAAGACAUUUGGGGUUGAAGACACUGUCUCUGAGAACAUUCCACUUACUAUAGGCUUGCUUUCUGGGGAAGUACAUCUAGUCUCUGAACACUGAGGAAAAAAUACUUGUGACAGGAGACACUGUCUCUGAGAACUUAACAGUUACUACAAAAUUUACUUUCAGGGGAAAGACAUCUAUCUAAUCGUAAAACAUACACUAGACAAGACUUUUGGGGCUGGAGACACUGUCUCUGAGAACAUGCCGAUAACUAUAAAAUUGCUUUCUGCUGACACACAUCUAGUAUUAAAACAUUUUGUAGACAACACAUCCGGGGGCUGGAGACACUGUCUCUGAAAACAAAUCGGCGACCACAGGCUUACUCCCAAUGGAGUAUAGUCCUUCAAGACAAGACGCAAUCUUUAAUGAAAUCGAAGACUUUCAAACAUUCCUGAUGAAAAGACCCGAGCUGAAUAGAAAAUCACACACAAGACUCAAGAGGAUGCAAAAAAGAACUGAGAUAGAAAACCCAGAUUGUUCCUGGUACAGUGAUGGCUCCUGCCUCCAAAUGACUCUGGUAAAUUAACGUCUGGGCAUAUGAUCACCACCACUGAGGAGGUCAUUGAAUCAGGAGCGCUUCCUUUGGCCUCUUCAGCUCAACAAGCUGAACUGGAAGCUCUGACACCAUCUUGUGAAUUACCAAAAGGGAAAUGAGUGGACAUUUACACGGAGAGCAGGUAUGCUUUUGGGGUGGCACGUGAUUUCAGGAUGUUAUGGAGAUAUCAAGGGUUAAUGACUUCUUCUGUCACUCCCAUUAAAAAUCCCUCUUGUUGGGGCAGCUAGGUGGUGCAGUGGAUAAAGCACUGGCCCUGGAGUCGGGUGUACCUGAGUUCAAAUCUGGCUUCAGUCACUUAACACUUACUAGCUGUGUGACCCUGGGGAAGUCACUUAACCCCAAUUGCCUCACUAAAACAAAACAAAACAAAACAAAAAUCCCUCUUGUUGCCAGCAGCAGUGGCUGUUUUGAAAGUUGAAGGACCCUCCCAUGAAGACUCUCCCUAUGCCUGGGGUAAUGCCCUUGCUGACCUGUAUGCCAAGGAAGCAGCUCAGAAGCCCCCAAUCCCUAUAGGACUGUCUUCCUUUACAUCUGUUGGGCCCGCCCUCAAAUGAACACUGACUCCAGCAGAGCUUACUGCUGUCUAAGAAGCCAUGUCUUGUUCCAUCCAAGACAGACAAAGAUGAGAAGCAUGCAAAAAAGGAGAAAAACCUUGGGCUCUGGUAUGGAUGCCUAGUCCUUCCUGAUGCUUGCUGUGUGUUCUUGGGAUGGAAUACCUGCACUCUUUAAGUCACUGGAGCCCUGAGGAGCUGCUUGGUUUGAGCUGCAAAUAUUGUUGGGGGAAAAUGAGGCCAGCUGCAUUUGAUAUUUAUUUACAAUGUGAAAUCUGUCCCAAAUGUAAUGUUAGCAAGCCCCUAAGACCUCUGUCAGGGAAAUUCCCUCCCCUUGAGGCAUGCUUUCAAGUCUGGCAGACUGAUUUUAUUUAGUUCCUCCCCUGCUCUGGUUAUAAGUAUGUAUUACUCAUGUUCUGCCUGUUUUCCCUGGUGGGUGGAGGCUUUUUCUUGCAAGGAAGCCACUGCAACAGACCUAGCCAAGCACCCCCAACCCUCUAGUCUGGCAUAAUGUAUCAAUAGAAUUAAGAUUCAGUUUGCACAUUUAUGGAUGAUUGGGGUCUGCCAUGGCCAAAUUCCUUAGUUCUUCUGACAUCUUAGGGUAAUCCCUUUUGACAAAUACUCUCUUUCACCCUUUGAAAUCAUUCUCGGGCAUCUUAUGACCCUCCCUCUUCCCCCCAACCCCAGUGACUCCCUCACCACCAAGGUUUCCCUUCUGCCCUACUGCUGGGAUUCAAUCAAAAAUGUUUUCAUACCUUAACUCUCUUGUUUCUCAGUCAUUUUCUAGAGACUCAAGCCUGAAUCAGUCUACCUUGCAGUCAGAACCCAAAGAAAAGGCCCUACCAAGUCCUGCUGACCAACCCCUCUGCUGCAAAACUGAAGGGAAUUGACAGCUGGGUGCACCUAUGACAUCUGAAGAGGGCUCCAUUCCCCCAAUGGAGAACUCAGCCCACUACCAGUGAUACCAAACUCCAUCUGACCCGGAAAAGGAAGCAGACAACAGCAGGGGUAGACCCCUUUCCCAAGACACUGGAUGUGGCCUGAGAACCCUACGUUCCUUGCUUCAGCUUACAUUAAUUUAGAACUUUUGCAACCUAUGUUCCUGUACCAGCUACUGAAUGUGCCCUACUUGUUAGUCUUUCUGUAUCAUCUAUUCCCAAAUGGCUAAUUAUUUUUCAAAAUUAGUAAAUAGGUAAAAAAUCAACCCCCUUUUUGAAUCAAGUCAACUUUAGCGAGAUAACUCUUGUUCCAGCAAAACAUUAGACCCUUGUCACAUCUUUUUAGUCAUCAGCAGAAUUCCAGACUUCCUCUUGGCCAAGAGAAUGAAACGACAACCAGAAUUGACCAAUAAUUGACUGAUCCUGCCCUGGUCUCUAUUCCCAAGCCAGUGAAUUGCCUGUGGCUGACCCAGUAUUGCCAUUCUGGCUUCUCAUUAUUUUGUAAACCUCAAACUCUCCCCUCCCAAACUCUCUCACUCUCUCAACUUUUGUUAUGUAAAAAAACAUACCUGGCGAAACCUUGAGAUACUUAUCCCUUCUAAAGGCAGUCUCUUCACUCUUAAUCUUAGUAAAAACUCUGUUCCCAUCUCACUCUUUGGGUACUCCUAGCACUUGCUAUGGUAGUACCA